AUUGAACGCUGGCGGCAGGCCUAACACAUGCAAGUCGAGCGGAUGAAGGGAGCUUGCUCCUGGAUUCAGCGGCGGACGGGUGAGUAAUGCCUAGGAAUCUGCCUGGUAGUGGGGGAUAACGUCCGGAAACGGGCGCUAAUACCGCAUACGUCCUGAGGGAGAAAGUGGGGGAUCUUCGGACCUCACGCUAUCAGAUGAGCCUAGGUCGGAUUAGCUAGUUGGUGGGGUAAAGGCCUACCAAGGCGACGAUCCGUAACUGGUCUGAGAGGAUGAUCAGUCACCUUGGAACUGAGACACGGUCCAGACUCCUACGGGAGGCAGCAGUGGGGAAUAUUGGACAAUGGGCGAAAGCCUGAUCCAGCCAUGCCGCGUGUGUGAAGAAGGUCUUCGGAUUUUAAAGCACUUUAAGUUGGGAGGAAGGGCAGUAAGUUAAUACCUUGCUGUUUUGACGUUACCAACAGAAUAAGCACCGGCUAACUUCGUG
rnacentral:rRNA from 1 species